UGAUUUUCUCUCUAGCUAUGUGCCACUGCACUGGGUGUCUCACUUCCUGGGUGUUUACUCCCAUCCCCUGCAGAUGGGAUUAUUUGCUUGCUAAUCUCCAUGACUAUUUCCAGUCAGAGGAAUAAAGCACACAACGAUGUUACAACACAGGCGAAAUGAUCUGACACGGACGCUGACUCCAUCGUCUGCAAUCCCGAACGUGUGUCAGUUCCUUCUACCUGGCGACACCUUUAGGAAGCUGCUGCCGGAGCGUCACGCACUUGCUGCGUGAACAGGGAAGCAAACCCCGUGGCGGUGGGAGGCCCGGGCCCCCUGCAGACUGCACGGCCGACCCUCCGCUCCCGGGGUCUCAGUCAACGUUGCGGGUCCGGGGCGCGAAUCCGUCGGAGGGCCCGGGGGCCUGGCGCGGGAUCAGCCGGGGAAGCCACACCUCCGCUCCCGUGGGUGCCACCCGGAGGGGCCUCCCACCCGGGACCGCGGGGCGGCACCUCCCCCUCGGGACCUCCGGUUGCGCUCGCACGACGACGCGGCAGAUUUGUUUCUUCUGAACAGAACCAACAGUAAUGACCACCCCGGGGCACCUGGAUGGCUCACACGGUUAAGCGUCUGCCUUCAGCUCAGGUCAUGAUCACAGGGUCCUGGGAUCUAGUCCCUCAUCGGACUCCUUGCCCAGUGGGGAGUCUGCUUUUCCCUCUACCCCUCCUCCCUGCUCCCAUUCUAUCUCUCUCUUAAACAAAUAAAGUCUUUCUAAAAAACAGUGGUAGCAAUUUAAAAA